rnacentral:rRNA from 1 species
CCCUACGGGACACAGCAGUAGGGAAUCUUCCACAAUGGGCGAAAGCCUGAUGGAGCAACGCCGCGUGGGUGAAGAAGGUCUUCGGAUCGUAAAACCCUGUUAUUAGAGAAGAAAGUGCGUGAGAGUAACUGUUCACGUUCCGACGGUAUCUAACCAGAAAGCCACGGCUAACUACGUGCCAGCAGCCGCGGUAAUACGUAGGUGGCAAGCGUUAUCCGGAUUUAUUGGGCGUAAAGAGAACGCAGGCGGUCUUUUAAGUCUGAUGUGAAAGCCUUCGGCUUAGCCGGAGUAGUGCAUUGGAAACU